CGUCCGCGCUCCGGCGGUGGCGGGAGGGUCCCUCAGGGCUGGGACCGACCCUGAGCCGGCUGGGGCGGGGGAAGGGGGAAGGAGGCCCGUGACGCCGGGGUCGGGGUCCCGUCCCUGCCCUGCGGGUGAAGGGGUCCUCGCGGCCAAAGUCCUCAGCCGGGUGGUGGCGACCACCGCCCCUCCGGCCCCUGCCCGGCGCUGAGAGGGGCUGGGCCGGGGGCGGCGGCCUCGGGCAGCAGGAGCCCCCCACCCGCAGCGAGGACAGCUUACAGAGGGCAGGUGAAGUAGCUCUACGCCAGAAGGAUCUGAUCCUUCUCACUCCGGCCUGCGCUUAAGCACCUCUGCUUGGAAAGGAAGUACCUGGUCGUCAGGUCCAGGAGCUGCUAAACACCUUGUUCCUUGUCAUACCGUGAGAAGUUGGAAAAGCAUGCCCUGAACCAGCACAUGGACUUGUCAAGGUCAGAAAGCCUUGGCUACACUGACAUUAAACCUUUAUUUAUUUGAUAAGCAAUUUACAUGGGCUAGCAAUGUUCAUGUUGUUUAAAUACAAGAUAUUUUCUAGGAACUGUGGCAUGCAUUGCUGAUGCAUCGUCUCAUCAGCAGGGGUAGAGCCUUGAGCUUUUUAUUUAUUCUUUAUCUUGAAUUUUACAGUCAUAAUACAAAGCAUGGUGCAGGCUGUCCUGCAUGGAUUUACUUUUACAGUGGAACAUCCAUAAACAAAAUAAAGGCAGAUAGCACUUUAGAGAUGUCCAACAUCCCAAAUGUUAACAUACAUUUUAAAUGUUAACAUUGUUCAGCACAGCAGCAUAACUUGUAUCACCCUUCUUGGACUGGACCAAGAGAAAUCCUGAUAGGGAGAAGUUACAGAGGUCAGUAGUAUAGAGUAGUGUACAGUAGUGUUUUCUCUCACCAGAAGCAAUAGGUCACUAACACUAUAACUGUGUAUUUCAAGUAAGGAUCAUAAUUAAGCUGUCAGGCUACUUCUCACUGAAGGGCACUUCUAAUAUAAUACUUUUGAAACUGGUGAAUGUGAUUUUAGAGUGCUCCAAAAA